rnacentral:rRNA from 1 species
GUCUACGGCCAUACCACCCUGAACGCGCCCGAUCUCGUCUGAUCUUGGAAGCUAAGCAGGGUCGGGCCUGGUUAGUACUUGGAUGGGAGAAAUGAAUACAUUUGUGAAGGAAGUACUAUUGUGGAUA